ensembl:lncRNA
GGGAUUUAUUACAGGUGGGAUGUGAUUUAUAACUGGUGGGAUGCGAUUUAUAACAGGUGGGAUGUGAUUUAUAACAGGUGGGAUGUGAUUUAUUACAGGUGGGAUGUGAUUUAUAACAGGUGGGAUGUGAUUUAUAACAGGUGGGAUGUGAUUUAUUACAGGUGGGAUGUGAUUUAUAACAGGUGGGAUGUGAUUUAUUACAGGUGGGCUGUGAUUUAUUACAUGUGGGAUGUGAUUUAUUACAGCUGUUCAGAGUUCAGCUAGGCUCUGCAUAGCCAACCCCCACACCCCUCUUACAUAAUUUGUGUAUGAUGUACUUCCUGGUACUUAAUGUACGCAGUAAUUGUAUGUUUGUAUGUCCUGGCACUUAAGAAUAGUACUUAGCCUUGUGUAGCAUCUUCUCCUUGCUAUCUCUGUUGUAUACGGGGAAUGGUUUAACCUAGUUAUUGUUAGUUCUUGGCACUAUGCACAUCCUUACUGUACCGACAGCGAUAUAUUGUUUGUUAUUGACUUUCUUCUGAGAAAUGCAUGUGUUGCAUUUAUUAAUCGCUUUAGAUAAAAGCGUCUGUAUAAACGUCACAAAAGCUGGGAUGUGAUUAACUACAGUUACGUUUUGAAAGACUACAUCUGGGAUGUGAGAUACACGAU